rnacentral:rRNA from 1 species
UAAUCGGAAAUUACUGGGCGUAAAGCGCGCGUAGGGUGGCUUGAUAAGCCGGUUGUGAAAGCCCCGGGCUCAACCUGGGAACGGCAUCCGGAACUGUCAAGCUAGAGUGCAGGAGAGGAAGGUAGAAUUCCCGGUGUAGCGGUGAAAUGCGUAGAGAUCGGGAGGAAUACCAGUGGCGAAGGCGGCCUUCUGGACUGACACUGACACUGAGGUGCGAAAGCGUGGGUAGCAAACAGGAUUAGAUACCCUGGUAGUCCACGCCGUAAACGAUGUCGACCAGCCGUUGGGUGCCUAGCGCACUUUGUGGCGAAGUUAACGCGAUAAGUCGACCGCCUGGGGAGUACGGCCGCAAGGUUAAAACUCAAAUGAAUUGACGGGGGCCCGCACAAGCGGUGGAGCAUGUGGUUUAAUUCGAUGCAACGCGAAGAACCUUACCUACUCUUGACAUCCUGCGAAUUUGGUAGAGAUACCUUAGUGCCUUCGGGAACGCAGAGACAGGUGCUGCAUGGCUGUCGUCAGCUCGUGUUGUGAAAUGUUGGGUUAAGUCCCGUAACGAGCGCAACCCUUGUCCUUAUUUGCCAGCGCGUAAUGGCGGGAACUCUAAGGAGACUGCCGGUGACAAACCGGAGGAAGGUGGGGACGACGUCAAGUCAUCAUGGCCCUUACGAGUAGGGCUACACACGUGCUACAAUGGUCGGUACAAAGGGUUGCCAACUCGCGAGAGUGAGCCAAUCCCGAAAAGCCGAUCUCAGUCCGGAUCGGAGUCUGCAACUCGACUCCGUGAAGUCGGAAUCGCUAGUAAUCGUGGAUCAGAAUGCCACGGUGAAUACGUUCCCGGGCCUUGUACACA